UUUUGCCUUUGUGAUUGUUUUUGGUGAAACUGUGAACAAUUGGAGGUGGUUUCUGCAAAAGAUAUCGGAUGUCUUACUGGGCUCUUUUUUGGAUUUUUUGAGUUUUUUUGUAUGAAAUGGUAUUAACAAUGUACUUCUAUGACAUGAUAUUAACAAUGUACUUCUAUGACAUGGUAUUAUCAAUGUACUUCUAUGAUAUGGUAUUAACAAUGUACUUCGGGCUUGCUGGGUUUGUUUUGGAUUUUUUUUGAGUUUUUUGUGUUGGGCUUAUUUUAAGUUAAUCAAUGGCAGUCAUGUAAUUUAUAGGAACUUCAACACCCAUUUCUUAUGUAGUAAAUGAAUUUUGGGUGUGUUUCUAAAGUGCAUU
rnacentral:lncRNA from 1 species